rnacentral:lncRNA from 1 species
AAACUUUGACCACAGAGUGAAUGUAAUGUUUCCCCGCAGAAAAACUAAGUCCAUUUAUAAAUAAAAUACAGAAAAAAUGGAAUUUAAUUUUACAAAAUUUACUUCUGGAUACUAUCUUAUGAUCAUAAACAAGCUUCUGUCCAAGUUUGGUAGAAAUCCAGAACAGUUUAAGAAAAUUAUUAAAAUUUCAAAAACUUUAACCACAGAGUGAAUAUUUGUGGAC